UUCCGGUUGAUCCUGCCGGAGGCUACCGCUAUUGGAGUUCGAUUAAGCCAUGCGAGUCGCGAGUCUUAGGGACUCGGCGUACCGCUCAGUAACACGUGGGUAACCUGCCCUAUGCUGGGGGAUAACCUCGGGAAACUGAGAAUAAUACCCCAUAGUUCACCACGCCUGGAACGGUGGGUGGAUGAAAGCUCCGGCGGCAUAGGAUGGGCCUGCGGCGUAUCAGGUUGUAGGGGGUGUAAUGUACCCUCUAGCCAUCUACGCGUACGGGUGUUGGGAGACAUCGCCCGGAGAUGGAUUCUGAGACACGAAUCCAGACCCUACGGGGUGCAGCAGGCGCGAAAACUUGGCAAUGCGAGCAAUCGUGACCAGGGAACUCCAAGUGCAUCGGGUAAGACCGAUGCUUUUCUUGACUCUUCAAAGGUCUUGGAAUAAGGGGUGGGUAAGGACGGUGCCAGCCGCCGCGGUAAUACCGGCGCCUCAAGUGGUAGUCGCUUUUAUUGGGCCUAAAACGUCCGUAGCCGGUUUGGUACAUUCGUGGGUAAAUCAAGGCGCUCAACGUCUUGAAUUCUGCGAGCACGGCCAGACUUGGGACCGGGUGAGGUGUGGGGUACUCUCAGGGUAGGGGUAAAAUCCUGUCAUCCUGAGAGGACCACCUGUUGCGAAGGCGCCACACUAGAACGGAUCCGACGGUCAGGGACGAAGCCUAGGGGCACGAACCGGAUUAGAUACCCGGGUAGUCCUAGGUGUAAACGCUGUGGACUUGAUGUUGGGGGCGCUCCGAGCACCCUCAGUGUCGAAGCGAAGGUGAUAAGUCCACUGCCUGGGGAGUACGGUCGCAAGGCUGAAACUUAAAGGAAUUGGCGGGGGAGCACUGCAACCUGAGGAUUGUGCGGUUUAAUUGGAUUCAACGCCGG
rnacentral:rRNA from 1 species